CUCCUCCUGGAAGCCUUGCACCAUCCAAAGAGGGAGCCCGAUGCUAACGGGAUAGAGAAAGCGGCGAUCCGGAGAGCUUCGAUUUCCCCCCCCUUCGACUGUGGCGCGCCUGGCAGGAAAUCCAUAUUUCGAAGCUUAUACUUCGCUUGAUCUGGAUGCAGGCAGGUGCUCUAGAGAUGAAGUCCCGGCAACAAGAGACAUGCUCUCACAGACGCCAUGCUGGCCUCAGUCAAGCUACAGAUAAUUCAGAUCAUACAAGCAGAUUUUCUAAGGCGAAAGACUACCAUAGAGGAGCUCUCCCUUAUACAAAUGGAAACUGGAGCAAUAACAUGCUUAUAAAUAACAUUCCUCAUUACUAGACAAGGCCCAAGCCUGCAUA